CUGGAAUACAUGUGCAGGAUGUGCAGGUUUUGUUACAUAGGUAUACACAGGCCAUGGUUGUUUGCUACACCCAUCAACCCAUCAUCUACAUUAGGUAUUUCUCUGGAAUUUUCAACAGAUGUAGGGGCCAACAGGUAUGGGGGUUAUGGUGGCAAGACAGGGUUUGAGACUGGGAGAAGAGGAGGCCUGGCUAACAAAGGUGGUCUUUCUCUGUAGAUGAAACAUCACAGGUAGCAGCCCUCAGAGACAAUAGAUGACAAAUGAAAAAAAAUUAUUUAAAAAAUUAAAUUUAAAAAAAGUGUUUUGUUUCUCUACUACCUUUGUGGAGGGGAUUUCUGGGUUGGACAAGAUCUUGGUUUUUUUAUUUUCUCAAUUUUUGUGAAUGAAGGUAAGAUGACUGGCAGUUUCUGAAUAAAGUGGACAACUGAAGGUCUGUGUCCACACAGAGUCAGGUAAGAGACCCUGAUUUUUAAAAAGUCUCCCAUCUACCUCUCUACUUGUUUGGAAUACUAACUGGAUGAUACCAAAUUCAAGCUGUUGCUACUGAAUAAACAUGGGAAGUACAGGCUCUAAAAUCUCAUCAAGAUCACCAUUAGGUUCAUGGUAGAAAAAUAUGGGAUGCCAGGAAUGUUGCCUGUAGGUCUCUCUUGAAUGGCUAACAUAUCUCUCACACAUUUGGAAUGGAUAUACACAUCAGAUCCUAGUCCUGCAGUGGCCUAGGGAUAGCUCUUUUGAUUUGGAUAAAUUACCGCAUUUGCAGAAGUUCUCGGAAGGGCUUUAUGUCAAGCAAAUGAGUUACUGGUAUUUGUGGGAUGAAUAUUAUUCUAAGAGGAAACUUAAAAGUGAUUUAGAUAACAUUGCUUUGCCAUGUCUCCCUUGAGGCAGGACAGGUCUGCACCCUUGGUUGAGGCUGGAAACUCAGCAGACCAGGGAUGUUUUCCUGUUUCAUUUGGAGCAGGGAGCAGAGGUGUCUGCCCUCAGGAAGGGGCCAUCGGAGCUACUGUAUCUGAAUGGGAGGGCUCUGGAGAAGAUGGCUCGGGAAAGGCAGCAGAGGCGGCUGCUCACAGUCCUCACAGGACAGCUCAGGAAGAAAGAUGCUGGCAGGUGGGACAGAGGGACGUCGAGGUAUCUCCCUCAGACAG
rnacentral:lncRNA from 1 species